rnacentral:rRNA from 1 species
AGAAUCAACGCUGGCGGCGUGCCUCAGACAUGCAAGUCGAACGAUUAAAGCUCCCUUCGGGGAGUGCAUAAAGUGGCGCACGGGUGAGUAACACGUAAGUAAUCUACCCUCGGGUGGGGAAUAACGUUCGGAAACGGACGCUAAUACCGCAUAAUGCAGCGGCACCGCAAGGUGACAGUUGUUAAAGAUUUAUUGCCGUGGGGAGGAGCUUGCGGCAGAUUAGCUUGUUGGUAAGGUAACGGCUUACCAAGGCUACGAUCUGUAUCCGGUCUAAGAGGACGGUCGGACACACUGACACUGAAUAACGGGUCAGACUCCUACGGGAGGCGAGCAGGUAC